CAAGAAAAGAUGAAAUUAUUAAAUAUAACGCAAUAUAUUUAUGAUAUUAUAUAUUUGUUUAUCAAAGUUAAAUCAUGAAAAUCACUGAAGGUAAUAUAUAAGUGUGCUAUAAUAUAGUCAUAUAUAUAUAUAGAUAGUCUUUCCCUUUUCGGUAUUUGGAUAGUUAAUAUGUAGAGAUCAAGGUGCACCAUUGAUUUCGCCAUCACCGAUGAUCACAGAGCCAUCAGUGUUAAUUUUGGUUCCACCACCAACUGAGACAUUAGGAGCAAUGGUGCUAUUACUUCCAACCACACCACCACCACCACCGGCAAUUCCACCACCACCACCGACUGUGGCAUUACCAGUUGCGGUACCACCACCACCUCCUGUCAUUUUGGCUUGUGCAAAAUUAUUUACCAACAAUGCAAAUGCAAACAAAAACACUGAAAAAAGCAGAACACGUUGAGAGCUUGAAUUUGCCAUGUGUUCAGAAAGUAUGAAAGAGUUUGGCAAAUUGAUUAAUGAUCGAAUUGGAAGGUGAAGCCAUCCAUUGUCCAUUCUUGUUAUUAUAUAGGUAAUGUGUUACCCAUUGUUAUAGGGAAUUUUGUUUAAUGUCUGUGCGACUUUUAAUUAGUUAGUUUACCCAAUGUCGCCGGUAAGUAGCUAUCGAUCAUAUCAAUUGUGUUUAAAUAAAAAGCUCCUAAGUAUUAAACAUCGAUCUAUACUAUAAAGCAAUCCUCUUCAUUGAAUUUUUUCAAAAAAGACAUUAAAUUAAUUGUCUCAUAAAAACUCAUAGAGGGAGUCCCCUUCCUAGUCUUCUUCUUGGCCUUGCGGACCAUUAAGAAACUUCUCGUUGGAUUCUUGAGCUUGUUAUUCGAUUUCCUUGCCAUGUUACUUAAAUGAGUGCUAUGUUCCCUUGUCAUAUUACAAUAGUGAGAUAUAUUAUUUAUACCACUUUCUUUGGGGUCUGGAGCUAUCCCUAAUGGGUCGGAAACUUGGUCCAUAAACCAGAUCGGUUUACAAACCAAUCUCAGGGAAACAAUAUUUGGCGAAGGGCCCAUGAUGCCUUUUUGGGUCAUGGGCUCAAGUCAACCCACGACCCAGUCCUGGGGAUGGGGUAUCAUAUCGAUCAAUACUCUCCUCCUUUUUCUUAAUAAAUAGGAGUUGUUUUCAUUGAAGUUUUGGUGAGAGCACUUUUUGAUCGACGUGGCACAGUGUCUUCACUAGAUAUUUUAGAAGAUCUCGUGUGUGAACUGUUGCACCAAAAAUCUACAUGGAUCUGAGUGUUUGAUCUAUAUAUAGAGGCUCACAGUUUAGACGCUACAGAGAGCCACCACCUGGACUCGUUGUUGAUGGGGGUUGAUCAGCCUAUGGUCCAACUGUUCCCUCUCGCUGUCGUGUCACCGUCAUCGGGCUUCACAUGUGGUGUCUGACCUUCUUGAUACUGACUUACGAUAUUUCCUUUGGGUCCUCUUUGGUCGUCCUAGGAAUAUGGUGGCCAACAACCAUCCCCUAGGGCUCCCUGUGGGGGAUGUACCUUGUAAUAAUUAUAAUUGAUUUUCUGAACUGCAGCUAGCUUUUGUUUUAAUUCCGAGUGUAGAUAAAAUAGUGUGUUUUCUUCUUGAUCUGUUCCUUUCCAUGUCUUCAUCGAUGUCUACAUCUGUUUUCUCUCUCGCCGAGGUCCUUAAGAGUAGCACUGAGGUGUCGACGACGGUGACUGCUUCUCUUGCAGGAUUGCCGACAACAAUUACGUACUACUGCUCCUGUGUCCUCAUCAACUCGGAGCAGCGUGGAUAUCCAAGGGACUGGUAUGUUUGACGAUAUGAUUUCACUUCUAUUUUCUUCGUCACCGAUGGCUACCUUUACCGUUCCGACACCCCCUCGGUGAGGUCUCUUAUGGAGGACCUGAUCUCAUCGUCGCCGAUAGGUGCCCUUAAAUCAGAUAAAACACAGAGAUUACUCGUCUAAAGGUUUUGGCAAUACCUUUUUGUAAAUCUUUCGAGGUUACAACGCUUACGAACCAGAGUCUUUACAGACGAACUCACACCUAAGAGUGAGAGGUUUUAUGGGUAAGCUAUUCACCUUAAAGUAUUCAAAGAAACUCUUAAAAACCUUUGUAAGUUUUUGAAGGCUACAAUCGCUUACGAACCUCUGUAACCUUCUCAAGACUAAAAUCGUUUACGAACCUCUAUAAUCUUUUCAAGACUAAAUCGCUUACGAACUUCUAAAAUUUUAUAGUAAACUUGCAACUAAGAAUUUUUCCGAUACCUCUAUAAAAUCAACCUUGAACUUUUUGGUUCAAUUCAAAAACCUUCCCUCACACAAGAAGGUGAUAAAGAAAUGGAAAUCUAAAAAUAAAUGUUAGUUCUUACUUACUUGGAGACUUAGAAGAUUAGAAGAAGAAAUGAGAGCCUUUUGAGCUUUAGAAAACUUGAGAACUUGAGGAGUUUUGAAGAGGUUUGGAAAUUUGAGAGAUUUUGAAGGAUUUGAAAUCUCAAGUGAAAGAAUGAACUCUAGAAUGAUUUCACUCCAUAUCAUUAAUUGUGUAAUUAGGGAUAAUUACUCUUUAUUAUCAAAAUAUAAUAUGCAUUACAAUCUUGAUUCUACAGUUUUUGGUGGUGAGGAUUGAACAAGAGGUAUAGUCAGCGGCGAAUCCAGAAAUUUUUUCUCCAGGGGGUUAAUUUUAAAUCAUUUAACCAAAUAAAAAAAAAUUCAAACCAAUUGUUCUCGAGAUGCCAUAUUUUAGGUUAGGGUUAGGGUAAAUCUUUUUUAAUAUAUGUUACUAAAAUAUCAUUCAACCAGGCAUCAUCCAAACGAUUACGACAAUUUGAUUUCACAAGAUUCAUUGCUGAAAAAGAUAUUUUCACUGAAGGAGUCGCAACUGGUAAUGUGAGUGUUAAUUUUAACAAACGUAACAUCAAAAAACAUAGGAUAUCUUUUUUCUUCUAAAUUGAUUUUUAAUCUUCUUCAAUGCAAAUUCAUUUUGGCUUUGUUGAUAAGGUUUUUUUUGCAAAUAAUACCUUCUUAUUUGAUCUCGAUCAUUUGGAUGGUAGUCGAUCAUUUAUCUUCUUUCGCAAUCCCGGAUCAGAUGGUAAUUUACUUACAUCGAGUAGCUUUCUAGAUGGUUGCGGAUUAGAUGAUGAAGUUAAAAUUGGUUGAUUUAUUCUAAAUCUUUUGAUCACAAAUUUAUCCAUUGAUUAUCUAUGUAAAAAAAAGGAUUUAAAUUAAUAAUAAAUUUAACAAUAAGGAAUGAGGAUAAAAAAUACAUUUAUUAUUUUUCUUUGUAUGGAGUUAUGAAUGCGAACUCAUGUAAAUGGAGAAAAAAGUCAAAAAUUAAAUGAAUGGUGUAAAGAUGGAGGAGGAGGGAAAAACGAAACUUCUAAAUAUCUAGAUAUAGAUGGACAAAUAUGAAAAAUUAAGGUAAAUAUAGUAAUAAAUAAAUUAUUAAUAGAAUAAUGAUUUAUAAAUAAAAUAAAAUAUUAUUAUUAUAUUAUAUUAUAUUAUAUUAUAUUAUAAAAAUAAAAUAUAUUAUUAUAUUAAUAUAUUUUAAAUGGUGGAGACGACAUAUGAAAUCCCCCCCCCUUACAUUCGCCGCUGGGUAUAGUAGGUAACAAUGGUUGGUCUAAGCAUAAUUCUCGAGCACUUUCGUCAACAUUAAGAUCAGGAGAUUCCUUAUCAAUACUAAAUUCACCAAGAAUAUCAAAUGUUGGAGGAUCAAAUGAUUGAGUUAUCGAUUUCGUAGGUAAGAUAUCCUUACCUUCGUUCAAUGGAAAACUAUCUACGGAUUUAAACUGAUUAUAACUUUGGACGAUCAUAUAUAUCUAACCUAGUAACGGAAUCAUUUGAACAAAAUUCUACACUUGCACUUCCAGAAAGGGGUUGAAUGUCUUGGAAUCUCAAAUGCUCUCCAAAGAUGAAUUUAAUCUCGAAAUGUAUAUUGCAUUCAAUGAAUUGUAUUGUCAAUUACAACUCUAUAUAUAUAGGACUAACUAUCAGUUGCUAACCACUUAUCCUAAUUAACCCUAACUAAUAUUCUAUUUAACAAUCCUUCGCAAAUUCAAGCAUUUUUAUAUUAUGAAAAUCUUUGAGGAUGUAAACAAAUGUGAGAAUUUGUCUUGUAUUCAUAAGUUGAGAUGCCAUGCUUAUAUUUAGUUAGUUAAAUGUAGGGAAGAAAAACCCAGUAUAUACAUCAUCUUUACUAAUCUUCGGUAUCAGUAUACUGAUCCAGAUUAAUAAAGUUGAUGUAGGAGUUUUGAGCUCCAUCUUUUGUUGCGGUCUUUCCCGUCUUUUUCUGGGAAAACCCUUUAUCAUCCUACCUAAACAUAGCUCUUUCCCUAACAUUUGUGACCAGAUCAUCCUUUAUCUCCUUGCUUGACCUGAAAAAAGUGUCUAAUAGUAUACUGUCUAACAAGCGAUCAGAUUAAACAUUAAUCCCAAUAACAAGCAUGAAGAAAGCAAAUAACAAUGAAAAAGAAAAGAGAGAGAGAGAGAAAAAAAAAACAGGGAAAGAAAGAAAAAUACAUGUUUAUUUAAUAUUGAAGUUCAUCCUUAAUUUGCGACACAAGUCUAUAAAGAUCUCAUGUUUCACAGCUUUUGUGAACACAUCAGCAACUUGUUCGUUGCUGAACAUACAUGUUUUAGUUGUAUGUUUCCAUUUGAUACUAACUCUCUAAUGAAAUAAACAUUUGUUUCUAUAUGUUUUGAUUUCUGUCUAAUGACAGGAUUCGAAGCCAUGAAAAUGGCUGAACUAUUAUUACAAGCAAGCAUGGGUAUAGAAUCUAAUUUUAUUUUAAGAUCUCUGCAAAUAAAUAAACACCAUCUUACUUCAGUUGGCAAUUGUGCUAGCGCUCUAUAUUCAGAUUCUGCACUGGAUCUGGAUACAGUGUUUUGUUUCUUCGAGAUCCAUGUGACCAGAUUUCCUCCAACAAAGAUGCAAGCUCCAGUGAUUGAUUUUCUGGUGUUAGGAUCACCAGCAAAAUCUGCGUCACUAAAUCCAUAAAUUAUGUUAUUAUGUGGUUGUUUGAUAAAUCUCAGUCCAUGACUGAGUGUUCCUUUUAGAUACCUCAAUAUUCUUUUUGUUGCCAUUAAAUGACUUGUUCUCGGUUCUUGUAGAAAUUGCGCAACUUGGUUUGUUGCAUAUAUGAUGUCAGGUUUGGUCUGAGAAAGGUAUUGUAGCGAGCCCACCAUUGCUCUAUAGUUUGUGGGAUCUUUAACUAAUUAUCCAUCAUCUUUUAUUAAUUUCGAUCCUGGGGCUACCGGUUAUUUACAUAGUUUACAAUACAAUAUAUCAUAUCUUUUAAGCAUAUCUAAGGCAUAUCUGGUUUGGUUUACUCCAAUUGAUCCAUCUUUUUCAUAAGAUAUUUCCAUACCUAGAAAGAAUUUUAGGAGACUUAGAUCUCUACAUCUAAAUUCCUUGCAUAAUGUUUAUAUGAAACUCUCAACUUCUAUUAUAUUAUUUCCUGUGACGAUAAUGUCAUCUACAUAGACUAUUAGCCAAAUUAUAAUUCCAUUAGAGUUAAAGACGAAUAGUGAUGAGUCUGCUAGACUAUUUUUGAACUCAUUUUCAAUUAGUAAUUUGCUUAGUCUUGAAUACCAAGCUUUUGGUGCUUGUUUUAUUCCAUAAAUUGCUUUAUUUAGUCUACAAAUCUCAUUUGAAGAUUCAUAUCUUGGUGGUUGCUUUAUGUGUACUAACUCUUUUAAUUCUCCUUGUAAGAAUGCAUUUUUCACAUCAAUUUGUCUUAAUUUGAAUCCUCUGGUUACAGCAAAAGAUAAGACAAUCCUUAGAGUUGAUGAUUUUACUACAGGGCUGUAUACCAGACUGUAGUCAACACCUUGUUGUUGUUUAUAACCUUGAGCCACCAACCUCGCUUUGUACCUCUCAAUUGACCCAUCAACUUUCCUUUUUAUUUUGAAAAUCCAUUUAGUGUCAAUUAUGUUCGUAUUUUUGACUGUGUUUGGUUUGACUAAGUCCCAAGUGUUGUUAUCGAUCAAUGCUUUAUAUUCAUCAUCCAUAGCUUGUUUCUAGUGAGCUAUUAAUAGUGCUUCUUUGUAAUUUUUGGGAACUACUUCUUUGGUGUUUAAUGUUUCUGCUAUGAGUGCUUUGGGUAGAUCUACUUCAUAAAUGUUCAGCUUACUUGGAAAAUUUCUAGCUCCGUGACUUUUCCUGAAUUCAGUUGUGUGAUGGUUGAAUUCUUGAGUAAGAAUUUGAGAUAUUUCUGACGUCAAAUUUUAUGGUAUUUGUGACGUUUCAGAAUUUGUUCUCUGGGUUUGUUGGUUUAUGGAAGAUUUAUCUUCUGAGAUGAUAAUGUUUUCUAUCCUAUUAAGAGAACCAUUAUUUGUAAUGGUUCUAUCAUCAGAGGUUGUAUUAUCCGAGUUUGUUCUUUCAGAGGAUAAAUUGGUGUAAUCCUCUCGAUGUCUAACUUCUGGGUUUACAUUUGUAGGUCUAAUAACCGUUUCAAAAUGAUUUCUGUAAUGGAAUUAUCACGUUUUUCAUAGUGUUCAUCCUAUCAUUAUUCACUUUGAAUUUAUAAUCCUUAAAAGGAUAAACAUUCUCAUGAAAUUUCACAUGUCUUGAAAUUUGGAUUGAGAGGUUAUCUAAUUUUAAACAUUUAUAUGCCUUGUGUGAGGGGGAAUAUCCAAGACAACAUCAUAUAGAAGUUGUAUGAUCAAAUUUAUUUCUUUUAUUUUUGGAAACAAGAGGGAAACACAAUGAUCCGAAAACCUUAAAAUAGUUUAUAUCUGGUUUUCUAUUGUAAAAAAUUUCGAAUGAUGAAAUUCCAUUUGUUGUCUUAGACGAUAUUCUAUUUAUUGUAUAUACUAUCGUUUGACAUGCUUCUACCCAAUAUUUUUUGGGUACCUCAGAUUCAGAUAAAAAACACCUUGUUGUGCUGAUUAUGUGGCCAUGUUUCCUUUCUACUAGCCCAUUUUGCUCUGGUGUGUAGGGAGAAGAAAAUCUUUGCUGAAUUUUUGAUUAAGGAAUUCUCCUCCUGAAUCAGAUUGUAGAAUUUUAAUUUUAUGAUUUAGAAAUUUCUCAAUCAUUUUAUGAAAAUCACAGAAAACUUAAAAUACUUCAUUUUUCUGAGAUAGGGGAAAGAACCAAGAAAAUCUAGAGAAUUCAUCUACAAUUAAAAGAUAAUAUUUAUAUCCUUUUAUUGACGAAUUUGGGACUGACCCCAUUAGGGUACACUCAAUAUAUUCUUGAAUAUUGUUUUUACAUUUAAUAUUUGUUGAUCUAAGUAUUUUAUUUAAAAUUUGAUUUGAUGGAUGACCACAGCGUCGAUGCCAUACUUUAGGGUUACACGCCAGAAAUGUUGACAUCUUACUAGCACCUUCUUUAUUCAGGUGAUAUAAUCCGUCUGAGCUAUUGCCAUUGAAAAGUUUCUUCCCUUUCUGAGCAUCAAAAACAGUGAAACCAUUCUUAUUUAGCAUAAUAUAACAGUUUAAUGUUCUUGUUAACGCAUGUGAUGAUAAGAGAUUUCUUUUUAAUUUAGGAACACAAAGUGUGUUCUUUAAUAACAAUGUACCAUAGAGUGUUUUUAGCACCACUGUCCCGACGUGUGUAAUGGGCAAUCCUAACCCAUUACCAACAAUUAUAGCUUGUUUACCUGUGUAUGCUUGUGUAUCAGUCAUGUUGUUGAUAUCCGAUGUCAUAAGGUUUGUCGCAUCAGAGUCUAAUAACCAGUUUCCUUCAUAAUCUUCUUCUUCAUUUACGGUAGCAGCAAAUGCUUGAAAACCACUUCUACAGGUUUUGGCCGAGUGACCUGAUUUAUCACAUAACUGACAUACAACUUUAAUUUCAUUUACCUUGCUAGAAGAUUGGGCGGAUUUAUUUCCUUGCCAUUUUUGACCUCUGCCCCAAUUUCUCCCAGCACGACCUCCUCGAUUACUACAACCUCGGCCACGAUUCCAAUUUUUAGUGUAUGCUGCAAACACCGAUGGUGUGGAUCCAAUACCUUGAUAUCUCUUGAGAUAUAAAUCUUCCUGGAUAAUCAGAUGAAAGAAGUCGUCAAAGGAAAUAUUUGGGUUAGUAUGUAUCCCGAAGAUGAAAGGAUGAAACUCUGGCCCUACCCCUUCAGCUACGAACUCAAUAAUAUCUAAAUCCGUAACUCUAUCACCAGUUGAUGCUAGAGAAUCAAUAAGCGCGCGGACCUGGAUCAGAUAUUCUUUCAUUGUCAUGUCAUCAGUUUUCUUUAAAUUUCGCAAUUGAUCCCGAAUGCUUUGGGAGUGAAUGGACUUUCCAGGUGACAGGUUUGUCUCCAGUGCGAGCCAACAAUCACUUGCUUUUUCAUGAUUCAUAACCAGUGAAUGCAUCGGAGGUCCAACAGAUGCUUGUAUCCAGCCGAGGACCACCAAGUUCUUUUCUUGCCAUUCUUUAAAUCUUGGAUUCGUCGAUUCAUCAUCCAAUUUUUCAUUUGGUAUGAUUUGAUCUUUCUUCACAAAGUCAGUCAGCCGAUGUAGACAUAACAGAUUUUCAAAUUGGGCGCGUCAGAACAGGUAGAUUUUUGGGCGUUCCAAUUGUUUGAGGAUCCAGUUUGUAACUUGAAACUUGUAUAACGAGUCUGUUGAUGACGUACUCAUCUUGGCCGAGUCGACGAAACACAAUCUGUAAAAUUUAUAUAUGAUCUAUGAAUUUAUACAUAUCAGAGAUCCGUAAGAAAUACGAUCGAGAUACGAUCGUAACUCGAUCGCAAAAAAAAACUUAUGUAUAAAAUCCGUAAUUACUUAACGUAAUUUUACGGAUUUAGUGUAAGAUUUACAAUGAAUUUCACGAAAUAUGUGAAAUUUACACAAUAUAUGAUACAACAAAAUAUGUGAUAUCAAAAUUUGCAAAUAAAAAACCAAAGUGAAAAUUUGCAAAUUUGCGUGACACAAAACUUCAAUAAAAUGAAAUUCGUAGUAUCAACAAAUAAAAAAAAUCCAGAAAUUAAAAUUUCAAGAUAUAUAUUUUUUUUUAUAUAUGAAAAAGAACAGAAAAUUCCAGAAAGAAAAAAAAUUCCAGGAAAUUGAAAAAAAACUUUUUUUUUCUUUUCUUCUUCUUUCAAAAUAACAAAAAAAACAAAACAAUUCAGAAACUGACAAAAAAAAAUUUGGGUGAAAAAAUUUCUCUAAAAUAAAGCAAAAUUAAAAUUUCAGAAACUUUUUUUUUUAAUAAAAAAAAAUAUUCCAGAAACUAAAAUUGAGAAGAAAAAAAAUUCAGAAAACUUGUUAAAAUCAAUCAAAUGAAAAACAGAUUGAUAAAAUUGUAAAAAAAAUUAAAAUAAAAACAUAGUCGAUAGAAUUUGAAACAAAAUUGAUUAAAAUCAAUGAAAUCAAGAAAAAAAUCGUUGAUGAUCAAUGGAGAAAAAAAAUUAUAUGGAAAAUAAAUAAAUUGCAAACCACAAUUGCUCCACACCCUCCAUGAAUGCUCCUUGGAAAUCCACAAUCCGAUCUGCAAAUCACGUCACUGGAAAUUGAUCCCAAAUCUGCAGCACUCGUCAUUUGCAAAUUAAUUUGGAGAACUGUAAAUCCCAAAUCGCAUCUUCCGUCGUCAAUAAAACGGAAAUCAGAAAUUAGUAGAAAUCGAGCAACAGUGUCAGAAAAUUGCGUCGGGAUCAAUUGAUCUGAAAUCGUUCUAUAUUCUAGCAGAAAUCAAUUGAUCUGAAAAUCCCGUCUUCUAGCAGAAAUCGCGGCUUCCGUAUUCUGGAAUCGGAAGAAACCGCCGGAAAGAGAAAACGCGUCGUCGCCGGAAAGAGAAAUCACGCCAUUACUAACGUUAUCAUUUUUAUUGUUUUCUAAUGUAUAUAAAUAUGAAAUUAUUUAGUUGAACACUUAACACAUAAAACCAGAAUUAUCAUAAUAAUAUAUAUUUCUUUUAUCGAAAUUACAUCAUGAAAAUCAGUGAAGGUAAAAUGAAAUAUCGAUCCAUAUAUUUUGCCAUACAUAAUAUAUAAGUUUGCUAUGAUAUUAUUAGGUUUUUUUUGGUUUAGAUUCUGUGAUAGACCCAUUGCCGAUGAUCACAGAUCCAACAGCGUUAAGAGCGGAUCCACCACCAACAUCAGAACUAGAUCCAACUUUGCUGUUAUCUCCAACCACACCACCACCUCCACCGAGUAUGCCUCCACCACCACCAACCUUCCCAUGAUCAGUUGCAACACCACCACCGUCACCAUUGAUCCCAUUAUUAGUCACCUCAUCACUACUACCAAUUGACCCAUCAACCAUGGUAGCCUGUGCUAAAUUAUUUAGAAGCAAUGCAAAUGCAAACACAAACACUGAGAAAAGUAGAACACGUUGAGAGCUUGAAUCUGCCAUGUUUUAGAAUGUAUGAAAGAGGUUAGAAAAUUGAGUUUUGGAAGGUGUUUCUAUCUAUUGCCCAUUCUUGCUAUUAUAUAGGGAAUUUGCUACCCAUUGUUACAGAGAAUAGUAUUGAUGUCUGUGUGACUUUUAAUUAGUUGGUUUGCCUAGUGUGGCCGGUAAGUAGUUAUUGAUCAUAUUAUGUGAGUUUUGACAUUUUUUUAAGCAAUUCAAUUGCAAUUUAAGAUUAAAUAAAUAAAUUCUAAUGUCUAAUUCUCUAGAUUAGAAAAUUCAAAACCAACAUUAAAUUGAAAAUUAAGUGACAUAAAACCUCAUGUGUGACUUAGCAACUUAGUUUCUAUUGAUGCUUAUUUGGAACUCAAUUUGUCAAUAUUAUUUAAUACUAUACAAAGAAAAAUACUGAGCCUAACAAAACCUAGCUAGGUCAUAUUAUUCUUAAUUCACAAACCAUCAAUGUCAUGCUUUAAUUUGGGGAAAUUUGGAUUGAAAACAUACAAUAAGUUUAGCGAUCGUUUUCAUGUGUCAGAGUUUUUCACUACUUGACAUAUAAUCGGACAACUGCAAAUGCGGAAAUGGACUAAAUAUAUAGGUAAUAAUAGUCAGAUUCAGAUGAGAUAUGUAAUUGAUAAUACCCUCAGUCCAUUGGAGUGGCCCAAUAGGAAUAUCAACGGACCGGUUUGUGAAUGUUGCUACAAAUCGAGAAUCAUGUAGUGAUAGUUUACGUAGUCCUCCAUAAGUGAGUGAGAAAGGGGUUUCACCUGUGAUUUUUUAUUCUUGUAGUACGGUAUAUUCACAAGAUUUUAGGUAGCAAUUCUGUAAAUUUCUUUAUGCUUUUUCGACCUCUUUUUUAUCCCUUAGACUAUCAUUUUUCUGCUUUUCGACUCUUUUUUCAUCUCUUGGACUAUCGCCUUGUUUGUAACUUCGACCUGUCCAUUGUCUUGAGGUCGGUAUACUGAUACAAUGUGUACGUUGGUGUUAUAGCUCUUGAAUAUUAUGGUAAAACUUUCGUCAGUGAAUUGCGUUAUAUUAUCAGUGAUAAUUGUAGAAUCUAAAUUGUCGAUACAUUAGUAUAUUUUAAUCAUGUUAAUUUAAACUCUAAUUACAAUAUUAAUCUAUAGGGUGAAAUUAGUCAAGAUUAGACCUAACUCUAAUUAAUCAAUAAAUCAUUUGAGUCAAAGGUCUAAAUUAAAGUUAAAAUUGAAACAAUUGCAUUAUAUACCUUGAAUAUUAUUAUUAUUAUCUCUAACACUCUAUUCAAGGUAUAAUAUUCCAAAAGGAUAAAACAUUAUUCAUGAUGCAACUAUUCAAGGGGACAAAACACUAUUUGAUGAAUAGUAUUCCAUCACCUCAUUUAAAGCUAAAGGAAUAUCAUAAUGAGAAGAAGGUCUUCAAGACAAGUUAUGUGAGGAAUCAAAGAGUCAUCUAUUAAAGAUCCAAGGGUGGAGAAGUGAUGACCAAGUCUAUAAAUAGAGGGAAAUCCUCCCAUUUUCGUCCACCACACUCUAAGCAUUCUAAAGAGAUUCCACUCCGCAUUUAAGAUCUCCAAAGUGUUCAUAACUUCUAAGCUUUCAAGCUUCCAAAGUUUCUCAAGUGUUUUAGCUUUCAAAACAAAAACUUCAAAAGCUGUUCAACUUCUUUUAUUCCUCUUGUUCAUCUUAACAAGUAAGAAAUUUUGUGUGCUUAUUAUCCCACUCCUCUAAUCAUCUCUUGUGCGUGUCCACUUUGGUUGAGAGGUUUGUCUCAAUAUCACCAAAGUGUAAGAGAAGGUUUUUAAGCUCAACCAUAAAGUUCUAUGUUUGGGUUUAUAGAGUUUUUUGAAAAACUCUUAGGUUGAAUCUACCUUCAAAGAUUCUAAGGUUCUAGUCUACCCACAAAGGCUAGAAAGGUUUUUAAGAGUUUCCUUGCAUGAUACUCUAAGGUGUGAGUCUACCCGUAAAAGACCAGUUCUUAAGCGAGGUUAGCCUUAAAGUUUAGAGAGGUUUUAAGAGUUUUCUUGAUACUCUAAGGUUUUGUCAUAACCUUUAGCCUAGUGAACUCUGAUUUUAUCGGGAUUGGAUUAGCCCUUGUUUGGGUGAACCAGUAUAAAUCUUUUGUGUAGUUCGUUGUUAACUUUAUUUUUAUUUAUUAUCUAAAAACAACUAAACAAAAAUUAACUAAAAAGGAUCCCUCUUCCAGUUAUCUGGUCAAAGAAUAGAGGUUGACUACUUUUCGCAGAUCCCUCAUUCAGUUAUCUGGUCAAUUCUCUGAGGUUAAGUUUAUUACACAAAUCUCUAUCCAGUCAUCUGGUCAAACACUAUUCUUUCAAUUAUACAUCCAGUUAUCUGGUCAAGAAAAUUAACUUAUAUAUUAUUAUUGUUUUUCAAUCCGUGUUUUAUUAAGUGUUUACAGGUAAUCCAUCUUUUAACCUGUAUAAAUAAAAAAAAGGCUAUUAACCUCCCUUAUAGGCUCGGAUCACGAUCCAACGAGUGGUAUCAGAACCAAGUUCCGUUGAAGUCAGACUAACAUCUCACAACAACAACUAUGACACCAAAUGGUGAACACAGUAUUGGUCUUGCGUCGAACAAACCUCCCAUGCAUGUUCGAUGGAAUAAAGUAUGACUUCUGAGAAAACAAGAUGAAGUUAUACUUAAAGUCAAUCAACAAUGGAAUAUGGAAAAUCGUAUUGGAAGAUUAUGGAAUUCCAACAAGCAAAGAAGAAACUUAAGGAGAAAUGGAUAUCCUUAAGGAAAACAACAACUUCAGAGUAUUAAAUGCACUAUAUGGUGCACUUAAUGAAUCUGAGUAUAGCAGGAUUCGGUGUCUGCAUACAACACACAUGGUAUGGAAAGCAUUGGAAGAUUUGCAUGAAGAAACUUCCCAUGUUAAAGAAAACAAAUUGCUGCAUGCCACAUCUCAGUUCAGUGUUGUGUUGUUAUGUCUUGAAAGACUAAAAUAUUUUUUCCUAUCAAAGCCCAAUGGGCCUUGUGUUUGAAGGCCCAAUAAGUAAAAUAUUUUAUAAAUAACCUAUUAAGCUAGGAGGAUAAUUUAAAUUUAGAAUGGAGAAAAUAUACCUUUAAAGGAGUUUCAUUCCAUUUUAUAAACAAAUUUUUAUUCGACCUCAUAAAUCAUAAUCAAUUAUUCUAUUUUUCAUUUCUCUCUAUAGUCUAUAUGUUAAGGAAAUAUGUUCUAGUAAGUUAUUCUACUAUUAAGAAAAGAUGAAAUUGUUAAAUAUAACGCAAUAUAUUUAUGAUAUUAUAUAUUUGUUUAUCAAAGUUAAAUCAUGAAAAUCACUGAAGGUAAUAUAUAAGUGUGCUAUAAUAUUGUCAUAUAUAUAUAGAUAGUCUUUCCCUUUUCGGUAUUUGGAUAGUUAAUAUGUAGAGAUCAAGGUGCACCAUAAUUUAUUUUGCCAUCACCGAUAAUCACAGAGCCAUCAGUGUUAAUUUUGGCUGCACCACCAACUGAGACAUUAGGAGCAAUGGUGCUAUUACUUUCAACUACACCACCACCACCACCGACAAUUCCACCACCACCACCGACUAUGCCAUUACCAGUUGCUGUACCACCACCACCUCCUGACACGUUGGCUUUUACAAAAUUAUUUAGCAGCAAUGCAGACGUAAAUAAAAACACUGAGAAAAGCAGAACACGUUGAGAGCUUGAAUUUGCCAUGUGUUCAGAAGGUAUGAAAGAGUUUGGCAAAUUGACUAAUGAUCGAAUUGGAAGGUGAAGCCAUCCAUUGUCCAUUCUUGUUAUUAUAUAGGUAAUAUGUUACCCAUUGUUAUAGGGAAUUUUGUUUAAUGUUUGUGCGACUUUUAAUUAGUUGGUUUCCCUAAUGCCGCCGGUAAGUAGCUAUCGAUCAUAUCAAUUGUGUUUAAAUAAAGAACUCCUUAGUAUUAAAUCUCGAUCUAUACUAUAUAGCAAUCCCCGUCAUUGAAAUUUUUCAAAAAAGACUUAAAGAUAGUUAAGUUAAUUAUAGCUCAUAGAAGGGGUCUCCUUCCUAGUCUUCUUCCUGGCCUUGUUGACCAUUAAGAAGCUUCUCGUUGGAUUCUUAAGCAUGUUAUUCGAUUUUCUUGCCAUGUUAUUUAAAUGAGUGCUAUAUUCCCUUGCCAUAUUACAAUAAUGAGAUAUAUUAUUUAUACCACUUUCUUUGGGGUCUGGAGCUAUUCCUAAUGGGUCGAAAACUUGGUCCAUGAACCUGAUCGGUUUACAACCCAAUCUUAGGGAAACAAUAUUUGGCAGAGGGCCCAUGACGCCUUUUUGGGUCAUGGGCUCAAGUCAACUCACGACCCAGUCCUGGGGAUGUGGUAUCAUCGAUCAAUACUCUCUCCCUUUUUCUUAAUAAAUAGGAGUUGUUUUCAUCGAAGUUUUGGUGAGAGCACUUUUUGAUCGACGUGGCACAGUGUCUUCACUAGAUAUUUUAGAAGAUCUCGUGUGUGAACUGUUGCACCAACAAUAUUCUACUUGGUCUGAGUGCUUGAUCUAUAUAUAGAGGUUCACAGUUUAGAUGCUACAGAGAGCCACUGCCUGGACUCGUUGUCGAUGGGGAUGUCGACGUAGUGGUCAAUGGGGAUGUCGACGUAGUGGUCGAUCAGCCUAUGGUUUGACUGUUCCCUCUCGCCGUCGUGUCACCGUCAUCGGGCUUCAAAUGUGUUGUCUGACCUUUUUGGAUGAUAUUUCCUUUGGGUCCUGUUUUGUUAGCCUAGGGGGUGGCCAACAACCACCCUCUUAGGGCUCCCUGUGGGGGAUGUAUUAGAGUUGACAAAAUUAUAAUUGAAAUCCAAAUGAAUGAUUAAUUUCAUUAACCUCAAAAGAGGAUAUAGCAAGAGUAUUUAAAAGAGAAAUACAAACACUGAACUCUUUAACAUAAUAAAAUAUUUUUAACUAGACUAAUUACUUUCUAAUAAACCAAUCAAUGUUUAAACCAUUGUAGCAAUUGCUCUAAGUGAGUUCAAUUCCUAAUUAGUAGAGUAAUGAAUCUCAUAACACCACCUCUCAAAUUAGCAAUAGAGUGAACUGUAAUUGAUAAAACGUGAUUUUUAUAACAGCAACACUUUCGCUAGCUGUUGUGAGUUAGAUGCACUAAACAAUGAAUAAUUGAAAUCAUAUGAGGGGCAAAAAAUCAAUGGCUGUUUAUUUUGGAAAAUCCUCUUAUGAAAACAAGUACAAUAUUAUCUAAUAUCUACUCAGCUAGUCUUCUGAUCCGAGACUAUCCCUACUCAUCAAUCUGUAAAACAGAAACAACAAACAUAACAAGUAAGAUUAAGUGUGAUUUCACAUGGAUCAUACUUACCUGUUUUAGAGAGUAAAAAACAUAUUAGUGUUCCUGCAAAAACUAAUAAAAAGAUCAUGUGAAACUGCUUUAGUAAAAACAUCUGCAAUCUGUUUAGUAGAACAAAUAUGUUCUAAAUUUAAUAGCUUUUUAGAUAUUAGUUCCCUAGUAAAGUGAAUAUCUGUUUCAAUAUGUUUAGACCUUUGCUUAAUUACAGGAUUUUGUGUCAUAAAAAUGGUUGAUUUAUUGUCACAAUAAACCUUAGGUAUAGAGAUAAUGGGAUAGGAAAGGUCUGUGCAAAUAAAUGAGGACCAUCUCAUAUCAGUGGCUAAAUUAGCCAAUGCACUAUAUUCAACCUCGGCACUAGACCUAGAGACUGUGUUUUGUUUUUUAGAUGACCAUGUUACUAGAUUUCCUUCAAUAAAAAUGCAAAACCCUGUGGUAGAUUUCCUUGUGUCUGGAUCAUCAGCGAAAUCACUAUCACAAUUGCCAACUAUUUUGUUAUUCUCAUUAUUCUUUGUGAAGUAUAACCCAUGUUCUAGAGUGCCUUUAACAUAUCUUAGAAUUCUUUUGGCUGCUAUUAAAUGAGAAUCCCUUGAUUCUUGAACAUGUUGAGCAACCUGAUUAAUAGAAUAGGUAAGAUCUGCUCUUGUGUUAGAGAGAUAUUGGAGUGACCCAAUUAACACUCUAUAUGAGGUUGGAUCUUUAAGUAAGGAACCUUCAAGUUUCUUUAGUUUAGAUCCUAGUAAUACAGGAUUCUUACAUGGUUUGCAGUUAAGCAUAUUAUAUUUAUUUAAAAUAUCUAAAGCAUAUCUUGUUUGGUUCAUGAUGAUACUACCAUCUUGUUUAUGUAUUAAUUCCAUUCCUAAGAAAAACUUUAAUAAACCUAAAUCUCUACACUUAAAUUCUGUUAUUGCCUGUGAUGAUUAUGUUAUCAACGUAUACCACAAUCCAAAUUAGAAUGUUAUCCUUGUUAUAGACAAAUAAGGAUGAGUCAGCCAAACUAUUUUCAAACUCAUUUAGUAUUAAAAUAUUGCUUAGCCUUAAGUACCAUGACUUAGGUGCUUGCUUCAAACCGUAAAUGGCUUUAUUUAGUUUGCAGAUAUGAGAAGGUUUAGAUGGAUCUAUAUAACCUGACGCCUGAGAUAUGUGAAUUGUCUCAAGUAAAUUUCCUUGAUGAAAUGCAUUCUUCACAUUAAUUUGCCUAAGUAUAUAUUUCAUGUUUACCACCAAAGAUAUGACUAUUCUUACUGUUGAUGAUUUGACAACCGGACUGUAAAUCAGAUUAUACUCAAUAUCUUUGUGUUGUUUAAAACCUUGAGCUACUAAUCUAGCUUUAUAUCACUUUGAAGUACCAUCUGUUUUCCUUUUAAUUUUAAACACCUAUUCAGUUCAUAUAAUAUUUAGUUUUCCUGAAUCAGGUACUAAUUCUCAAGUGUUAUCGUCGAUAAGAGCUUUGUAUCCAUCAUCCAUUGCUUUUUUCCAUUUUAAAAUGGAAAGUGCUAUUUUAAAUUUUUUUAGGAAUUAAUUCUUUGUUUUCAAUAACUCCAGCAAUAAGACCUUUAGGCAAAUUCACAUCAUAAAUGUUGUAUUUAGUUGGAAGAUUUCUUAUCCUUGAACCUAUUCUUAGUACUGUAUGAUUUUGAAAUUCUUGUACAGUAUUGGAUGCUACUGUAGGAGAAAUCGUAGGAGUAGACGUAUGAUCAGAAGCCGAACUAAUUGUUUUGGAUACUAGAGGUUCUUCAGUGUUAACAUCAUGAUGUGAAGAUAUCGAUGGGUUAGAGUCAGAAUUUAACUCUUUUUCCAAAUUUGGAUCAUUUGAUGCAGGUUCAGAUGAGUGUGAGUCAGGAGUUAAAGAUGAUGAAUUCUGAUUUGUAUCAGAUAAUGGAUCUGAAUCUGUUGAUACCGGAUUUUCAGAAACAUGCAAAUGGGUUGUUUCUGAAAAUUUUAGACUUGAAUCAGAGAUGUUGAGCUUAUGUAUGCUCUCAUUAUCCUUCAGAGGUAGAACUAGUUCUUUUUUUUGUUUUAGGAUUCUGUGAAUGUAUAUCUAACUUAUAGUCUUUAAAGGGCCGGAAAUACAUCUUCAUAAAAUUUUACAUUUCUGGAUAUUAAUUUUUUUGAAUCGCAUAACCUAAGACACUACUUGUAUGCCUUAUGAGAAGGUGAAUAUCCUAAACAACAACAAUAAGAUGAUGUUGGUUUAAAUUUUUUUCUUGCUUGUUUUGGAACAAGUGGAAAGAAAAGUGAGCCAAACACCCUAAAGAAACUAAUGUCUGGAUUCUUCUUGUAUAGAGAAGAAUACGGUGAAGAAAAUUUUAAAAUUUUCGUAGGUAACCUAUUCAUGGAAUAAACUGCAGUAGAGCAAGCCUCUACCCAAUAUUUUUGGGGAAUAUCAGAUUGAAUCAUGAAACACCUAGUGGUAGAGAUAAUAUAUCCAUGCUUCCUUUCCACCCGUCCAUUUUAUUCUGGUGUAUAGGGACUAGAGAAUCUCUGUAUUAUUCCUGAUUUUUUACAAUGAUUAGUAAAAUAUUUAUUUUGAAAUUCACUACUAUAAUCUGAUUGAAUAGUCUUAAUAGGCAUAUCUAAUGAUUUCUCAAUCAUAAUUUGAAUUUUUUUAAAAGUAUCAAAUACUUGAUCUUUGGAUAUUAGAGGGAAAAAUCAUGAGAAUUCAUCUACUAUCAGAAGAUAAUAUUUGAAUCCAUGUAUUGAUGGGUUUGGGGAAGGCCCCCAAACAUCCAUGUGUAGAAUCUCAAGUGGAGUAUUACUAUAACUACUUUUAGAAGAAAAAGGUUUCGUCUUUAGUUUACCUAGAGGGCAAAUUAAACAUUUGUCACAAACAUUUGAACAAUACAAAUCAUUUAGUUUUAAUAAUUUUGAUAGAAUUAAUAAGGAAGGAUGUCCAAAUCUCCUAUGCCAAAGUUCUUUGGGAUAGCUAUGUUUAGAAACAGAUGCUAAUGAUGAAUUAAGAAAUUUAUUAGAAGCAUUGAGAUGGUAAUUAAGUCCACCUGAACUACUUCCAUGAAUCAAUCUAGCAUCGCUAGUAUUAUCAACUAUUUUAAAACUAUUACCAUUCAAAUUAAAAGUGCAAUUUAAAUCAUUAGACAUAGCUGAUGAUCGAGGGUGAAACCCGAUCAGUACUCCAAGACGCUCCAGCAAGCGCCAAGCGGGGAACUCCGCGGGAAAUCGGACUGGAACUCUAGUGCGCAGAGCUCUGCUUUGCUAGGACUUCUCUACUCCAAAUGACCUGCCUUCAAUGAGUGGGGGCUGCCUCCUAUUUAUAGGGAUUCUUAUGGGGUUAAUCUGGUCAUUUUGGCAGUAACCGCCUAACUACCUAACUGAUCAGAUCGGGGCCCAAGGUCGACUUUCUGGAGAUCAACUUUCUUGGGAUCCGACUUUCCUGGGGAUCGACUUUGUUCAGAAAUCGAUCCCAGGGAAGUCGAUCCUUGGAAAAGUCGAUCUUCCUAGGAUUCGACUUGGGACCUCCCCAAUCCUGGAAUAGGUACCUCAACUCAUCUUAGGCUAUCCGAACUUCUAGUUGUUGGUAAGUUGUACCCGGGUUCGGGACACUGUAUCACUAGUACUCCCCCCUCCUCUACGUAUUAGAUAUCUUGGGAUACAUCUUUUAGUACUAUGGUUUGUGUGUUGGACCCUGUACUAUCAAUAGCUUAAAUGGAAAGCAAAUUCAUUUUAAGUUGAGGUACACAAAGUGUGUUCCUUAAAUUCAGAACUCCACGUUCUGAAUUUAAUUUGGCUGUGCCAAUGUGAGAAAUAGAUAAGCCAAGCCCAUUUUCUAUAAUAAUUUUAUUUUUACCUGAGUACUCCUGUGUGUCAGAUAAAGCUUCCAAAUCAAGAGUCGUAUGAUUUGAAGCACCAGAAUCAAGAAGCCAAUGACCUUCAGAUGGCUCUUUAGAAGCUUCUAUAGCCGCACACGCUUUUAGUCCUUUUCUGCAAGUCUUGGCUGAAUGACCAGUCUUAUCACAUAAUUGACACACUAUAAAAUUUGAAGACUUAGGAGUUCUUUUCCAACGGUUAUUUUUCUGCGAUUUAGAAUCAUUUCUGCGUUUAUCUUGAGUAUAGAACUUCUUUGACUUAGCAGCAAAACCAGAAGGUUGAGGUAUGUCAUCUGAGUAUUUUUUCAGAUAUAGGUCUUCCUUGACGAUCAGGUGAAGAAAUUCUUCAAAAAAUAUCUUUGGUUGAGAAUGAAUGGAACACAUGAAUGAUAUCGAUACUCUUUGCCAAAACCAUCAUCAACAAAAUCAAUCAUGUCUCGAUCAGAGACUUUAUCUCCAGCAGCGGAAAGACUAUCUGCCAGAGCCCUAACUUGAAUCACAAACUCGUUUAUAGACUGUUCUUCAGUUUUCUUCAGAUGUCUCGACUUAUCCCGUAUACUCUGAGUAUGAAUCAUCAAACUUGGUGAGAGAUGCAUUUCUAGUUUGUUCCAACAAUCAUAUGUUGUUUUAUGACCCAUCACCAAGGAAUAUAUUGGAGCAGCAACUGACAAAUGAAUCCAGCUAAGAAUGAGCCAAUUCUUCUAUAGCCAAGUUUGGUGAUAAGAAAUCGUUGUCCCAUCACUUUUUCUUUCUGGUGGAAUAACCUGAUUUGCACGUAUGAUGUCCGAUACCCGAUGUAUUAUGAAAAGAUUCUCCAUUUAUUGUUUCCAGAACAUAUGUGUCUCCCUUCUCAAGAGGAGCCCGGAUGAAGUGUGAAACCUGACAUUUGUAAAUGUCAGGAAUCAAUAAGGCGGUAAUACCAUCAAUAGAGGAAGAGGAAGAAGUGUCCCUUUCUACCAUUCGAUGCACUCAAGUUUUAACGGUAAAGAAAAAAUAUAAUUAGCACAAAACCUUGAACUGCACAAAAAAUACAGUCCUUGUGUCACAAACAAAGUGACAAUCAACACCUUGCAAACAAGGUAAUUUCAAUCGACAACAAUAAACGAUUGAAAUAAGAGAGAGAGAAAAAUAAUCACCUUAGAAUGCACAAUGAAAAAGAAUCAAUUAAGUUGACCAGCAGUCUCUGAUACCAUAUUCAGGUUGAUUAAAUUAUAAUUGAAAUCCAAAUGAAUGAUUAAUUUCAUUAACUUCAAAAGAGGAUAUAGUAAGAGUAUUUAAAAGAGAAAUACAAACACUCAACUCUUUAACGAAACAAAAUGUUUUUAACUAGACUAACUACUUUCUAAUAAACCAAUCAAUGUUUAAACCAUUGUAGCAAUUGCUCUAAGUGAGCUCAAUUCCUAAUUAGUAGAGUAAUGAAUCUCAUAACAGGAUGUACCUUGUAAUAAUUAUAAUUGAUUUUCUAAACUUUCUAUAAUAUAUGCAGCUUUUGUUUUAAUUCCGAGUGUAGAUGAGAUUGUAUGUUUUCUUCUUCUUCUUCUUCUUCUUCUUCUUCCUUUUCUCCUUUCCUUGCCAUGUCUUCUCCGAUGUCUACAUUUGUUUCUUCUCUCGCCGAGGUCCUCAAGAGUAGCACCGAGGUAUCGACGAUUGCUUUUCUUGCAGGAUCGCCGACAACAGUUACGUACUACUGCUACUGUAUUUUCGUCGACUAGGAGAAGCAUGGAUAUCCAAGGGACUGGUAUGAUUGACGAUAUGAUUUCACUUCUAUUUUCUUCGUCGCCGAUGGCUACCUUUACUGCUUCGACAUCCCCUCGGUGAGGUCUCUUAUGGAGGACCUGAUCUCAUCAUCGCCGAUAUCAGAUAAAACACGGAGAUUACUCGUCUAAAGGUUUUGGCAAUACCCUUUUGUAAUCUUUCCAAGGCUACAACUUUUACGAACCUGAGUCUUUACAGGAAGACUCACACCUAAGAGUUAAUAAAUAACUCUAUAAAACCUCUCAAGGUUUUAUGGGUAAGCUAUUCACCUUAGAGUAUUCAAGAAAUUCUUAAGAAUCUCUGUAAGCUUUCGAAAGCUACAAUCGCUUACGAACCGCAAUAACCUUUUCAAGACUACAAUCAUUUACGAACCUCUGUAAUUUUUUCAAGACUACAAUCAUAUACGAAUCUCUAAAAUUUUAUAGUAAACUUGCAACUAAGAGUUUUUCUGAUAACAUUAUAAAAUCAACCUUGAGCUUUUUGAUUCAACUCAAAAACCGUCCCUCACACAAGAAGGUGAUAGAGAAAUGGAAAUCUAAAAAUAAAUGUCACUUCUUACUUACUUGGAGACUUAGAAGAUUAGAAGAAGAAAUGAGAGCUUUUUGAGCUUUAGAGAACUUGAGUACUUGAGGAGUUUGAAGAGCUUUGGAAAUUUGAGAGAUUUUGAAGGAUUUGAAUUUCAAGUGAAAGAAUGAACUCUAGAAUGAUUUCACCCCAUAUCAUCAAUUGUGUAAUUAGGGAUAAUUACUCUUUAUUAUCAAAAUAUAAUAUGCAUUGCAAUCUUGAUUCUAUAUAGUUUUUGGUGGUGAGGAUUGAACAAGAGGUAUAGUAGGAAACAAUGGUUGGUCUAAGCAUAAUCCUCGAGCACUUUCGUCAACAUUAAGAUCAGGAGAUUCCUUGUCAAUAUUAAAUUCACCAAGAAUAUCAAAUGUUGGAGAAUCAAAUGAUUGAGUUAUCGAUUUCGUAGGUAAGAUAUCCUUACCUUCGUUCACCGGAAAACUAUCAACGGAUUCAAAAUAGUUGUGCUUUUAGACGGUCAUAUCUAACCUAGUAACGGAAUCAUUUGAACAAACUCUACACUUGCACUUCCAGAAAGAGGUUGAAUGAACUGUUUCAUUAUUUCUUCAAACAAGUAUACAAGAACCAUUUUAUGACAGUCCCAUACAAUAUCGAAUAUCUUUCAGUCCAACAAUUUGUAACUUAUCUUUAAUUUGAAAACUAUAGUCCCCAACAUAACGACCGACUAAAUAGUCAAGGUGAUAGACAUUUACAAUUUGAUCUAAAUUCCUAGAAAACUGCUCAAAAUUUAGAGUUUUUAUAGUCGUAAAAAAUUCUUCAGGAAGAUUAUCUUUAACCUCGAGGAAAGCAUAUUGAUAUACUCAGAGUAGCAGAAUUUGUUCUGAACCAACUAUAUUAAUCUCGAUCGUCUAUUUUUCUCGAGAUAUGAUAAUGGUCUGACCUCGAGAUACGAUCCGCAAAAGACAAAAAAACGGAAAAACGAAGGAUGUCUUAUGAAUGAUAGAUAUGUCAAUAUCUCACGAGAUAUCUCAUUUUGAUUAUCUCAGUUGCCUAAAUAGAAAGAGUUAUUAUUAGAAAAUCUAGUACUUAAAAAUCAAUUUUGUAACAUAUCAACGAUUUUUCGAUUUGGACAAUAAUUUUUUAUUUUUGUGUAGAAGAAUUUUUUAAAUAAAAUCUAUUAUAUCUUUUUUUUCGAAAUAUUUCCUUAUUGUAUUCAUGUAUAUACGUACAUUUCCUAAUAGUUCUUCUUGUGUAACCCUAACACGCCAUUACCAACGUUAUCAUUUUUAUUGUUGUCUAAUGUAUGUAAAUAUGAAAUUAUUUAGUUGAACACUUAACACAUAAAACUAGAAUUAUCAUAAUAAUAUAUAUUUUAUCGAAAUUACAUCAUGAAAAUCAGUGAAGGUAAAAUGAAAUAUCGAUCCAUAUAUUUUGCCAUACAUAAUAUAUAAGUUUUCUAUGAUAUUAUUAGUGUUUUUUUGGUUUAGAUUCUGUGAUAGACCCAUUACCGAUGAUCACAGAUCCAACAGCGUUAAGAGCAGAUCCACCACCAAUAUCAGAACUAGAUCCAAUUUUGCUGUUAUCUCCAACCACAGCACCACCUCCACCGAGUAUGCCUCCACCACCACCAACCUUACCAUGGUCAGUUGCAACACCACCACCGUUACCAUUGAUCUCAUUAUUAUUAGUCACCUCAUCACUACUACCAUUUGACCCAUCAACCAUGGUAGCCUGUGCUAAAUUAUUUAAAAGCAAUGCAAAUGCAAACACAAACACUGAGAAAAGUAGAACACGUUGAGAGCUUGAAUCUGCCAUGUUUUAGAAUGUAUGAAAGAGGUUAGAAAAUUGAGUUUUGGAAGGUGUUUCUAUCCAUUGCCCAUUCUUGCUAUUAUAUAGGGAAUUUGCUACCCAUUGUUACAGAGAAUUGUAUUGAUGUCUGUGUGACUUUUAAUUAGUUGGUUUGCCUAGUGUGGCCGGUAAGUAGUUAUUGAUCAUAUUAUGUGAGUUUUGACAUUUUUUUAAGCAAUUCAAUUGCGAUUUAUGAUUAAAUAAAUAAAUUCUAAUGUCUAAUCCUCUAGAUUAGAAAAUUCAAAACCAACAUUAAAUUGAAAAUUAAGUGACAUAAAACCUCAUGUGUGACUAACAACUUAGUUUCUAUUGAUUGAUGCUUUUUUGGAAUUCAAUUUGUCAAUAUUAUUUAAUACUAUACAAAGAAAAAUGCUGAGCCUAACAAAACCUAACUAGGUCAUAUUAUUCUUAAUUCACAAAUCAGAAAUCUUAUGCUUUAAUUUUGGGAAAUUUAGUUUGAAAACAUACAAUAAGUUUGGCGAUCGCUUUCAUGUGUCAGAGGUUUUCACUACUUGACAUAUAAAUCAGACAAUUACAAAUGUGGAAAUGAAUUAAUUGUAUAGGUAAAAAUAGUCAGAUUCAGAUGAGAUAUGUAAUUGAUGAUACCCUCCUUGGUCCACUGGAGUGGCCCAACAGGAAUAUCAACGGACCGGUUUGUGACUGUCUCUGAAAAUCAAGAAUCCUGUAGUGAUAGUUUACAUUGCGAGUUCUAUUAGAACUACUGGUUUGAGUCCUCCAUAAGUGAGUGAGAAAGGAGUUUCUCCCGUGGUUUUUCUCUCUCUUGUAGUACAGUAUUUUCACAAGAUUUUAGGUAGCAAUUCUGUAAAUUUCUUUAUGCCUUUUCGACCUCUCUUUUUUAUCUCUUAGACUAUCAUCUUUCUGUUUUUCGACCCUUUUUUUUAUCUCUUCGACUAACGCCUUAUUUGUAACUUUGACCUAUCCAUUGUCUUGAGGUCGGUAUACUGAUACAAAGUGUACGUUGAUGUUAUAGCUUUUGCAUAAUAUGAUGAAACUUUUGCCAGUGAAUUGCGUUCUUUUUUUACAGUGAUAAUAUGUCUAGUUACCUCAAACUGAAAGAGGAUAUUUCACAUCACGAAUUUGGCGGUCGCAUCUUGCAAGAUUCCAGCCAUCGCUGUCGCCUUUACCCAUUUGGUGGUGAAAUAAUCUACUACACAAAUAUGAACUUUGUCUAUCCUAUUGAUUGUAGAAAUGGUCUCAUAAUAUCUAAUCCCCAUCUGUCAAAUAGUAGUAGACUUUCGAUCGACAUUUAUGUACGAAGUCUGUUGCCUCUUUCUUUAGUAUUGACCAAUAAUACCCUUGAUAUAAUAUCUUCAAUGCUAGGGAUUUUCCUCCUUGUAUCUCGUAUGCCCCUUCAUGCACUACUUUGAUUACUUCCUCUAUCUCGGGCUUUGCUAAGUAUCAGAGUAGGGGUCCACUUAAUGAUCGCUAGUACAAUAUGUCCCUUAUUUCACAGUAUAUGGCUGCCUUCUUCUUCAAGCCAUAUGCAUCAUUGUUAUCAUUUUGUAAUAACCUAUGCAUUUGGUUUUUCAUUAAAUAAUGGUUGGUCCUACCCAUGAGACAACAUAGAAGAAGAUCAACAACCUCGAAAUCAAGCGGGAAGCUUAACAGGAAGUUAAGAUAUAUAGAUCAGCAACUCGUCAGAAAUUUAGAAAAAGAACCUUGCAGGAUAGACCUAUAGAGAGGAGGAAAUCUGUGACUGAGUAAGGGAGUGAAGAAUUAGUCUGAGAAUAGUGAUUGAUGACCCCAUCAUCAAAUUUCUUCUCUUACUGCUAUAUCUUUUGGUAAUCUUUAUGAUUUUUGAUGCUUUUAAUAUCACUUUUACUUUCAAUGCAUCGAUCAUAUUAUAUAUUUGUUUAUCAAAGUUACAUCAUCAAAAUCACUGAAGGUAAAUACAUAAACAAUAUAUUUAGUCAUACAGAUUGUGUCUAGUAUUUGGGAUAUUAUUUUCAUAUAUUUAAUAUUUAAUAUGAAGAUCAAGUUUCACCAUUGAUUUUUCCAUCGCCGAUGAUCACAGACCCAUUACUCUGAAUUGUAGAUCCACCACCAACUACAACAUGAUCUCCAAUGGUGCUAUUACUUCCAACCACACCACCACCACCACCGGCAAUUCCACCACCACCACCGACUGUGGAAUUACCAGUUGCGGUACCACCACCACCUCCUGUCGUUGUGGCCUGUGCAAAAUUAUUUAGCAGCAAUGAUGCAAACAAAAACACUGAGAAAAGCAAAACACGUUGAGAGCUUGAAUUUGCCAUGUGUUCAGAAGGUAUGAAAGAGUUUGGCAAAUUGAUUAAUGAUCG
rnacentral:lncRNA from 1 species